rnacentral:tRNA from 1 species
GUUUUUAUAGUUUAAAUAAAAACACUGGUCUUGUAAACCAAAAUUAAGAGUUAUCUUUAAAAACU